GUGCUCGCUUAGCCGCGCUAUUCGGCGCUCGUUCCGCGCGUAUCUUAGCCCCGCGAUGGUCGCGAUUGUAACGCAGUGAUUGUUAUUGCAUGUUUUAUCUAGAAAUUAUUCGUCCAUCAGUUCGGACAACCCACGUCUUUCGCGUAAAAAUCGUUGCGAGUGGGGAGAGGAGGAGAAAAAGGCGGGAAAAAUUAAGGGGAUACUGAAACGACCCUGGUUUGCAAUGACACGGGCAUCGCGUCACGGAGUGGUUCACGAAACGGUGCAAAGUCAAGUUUAAGGAACAAUUUGCCUUAUCCAGCUGCAAAACGACGAGCAAAUUCUACGCAGCCAAAUGUGAUGGCGAGGCCGUACGAUGCACGAGUUUAUCCUCGAGUUGCAUCGUAAGAGGGGCAGAGAGGAGACGUUUCGAAACUGCGACUGACCGUCCGGAGGGGCAAUUGAUAUCCGCGGAACUCGGAGGAUGCAUUCGCUUUUUCGUUCGAUUCGUGGAUGCGCGACGCCGUCUAACAGCCAGACCGGUUUAACGAGGCCACGCUCGAAAACGCGUCUCUACUUGCAUAUCCUCCAGCCUCAACCGACCAAGCAACGACGUAAUUUCGUUACUACGGCACCACCGAUUAAAGCUGCGGCUUUGAGCAAGGAUUUUUAGCGUCAUUCGAUGGAACCUCGAUUAUUGCAAAAAAUCAGAAUUGAAAAUGCGUGCAGGAAUCGAGGUGCUCGGUUUAACACUACCACGACGCACAGUGCAACGAACUGUGGACAAAAGAUAGGUACUUCGUUAAAAAAAAAUUACUAUUUUUUUUAUAAUGGAUCUGGAUUUUCGUGUGUCUUUAGGAUUAAAUUUCAAAAUAUAACAAAUACUACAAAGUUUUAUGGACGCCUGAAGUAUCCAAAUAUUUAAACAGCGGAAAAGGAUCAGAGAUAGAUAGAUUAAGAAGCUAAUAAUCUACAGAUUCAAAUGUGGGAAUGAGGAGAACUAUAACGAAUGCUAGCUGAAAGACGAAGAAAGGAUGUGCAGAGAAUGUGAAAAGGAAGGCGAAACAAUUAUUACAUUUAUAGCAUUUAUUAAGAGAAUUGGAAGAGAAUACGUAUGUUAUAAAGUAAUACAAGUAUUGUUUCAUCCAUUAGAACUUGUAAAAAUGUCGAAAUUCAUACAUUUUGUUCAUCUAUUAUAAAUUAACGAAGAGUAGCAAAUAUUGUGAAAUUCAUAAAUUGUUUUAAUUCAUAACAAAUUUAUGAAAAUGAUGGACAACAUUUGAGAAAUAAUGCAUUUUGUUUGCUUACAAUUGUAGAUGCGAGAGAAUUAUAAAAAUACAGUUUCCAAAGGGCUUUUAAUUAUUAAUUUGUAAUUGGAAGGCAAAUAUAAUUGCUCUAAGGAAAUGAUCAACACAAUCAAAAAAUGUAAUUAAGGAUUGCCAAUACAAUUGUCAAAUCAUCAUUUGGUAUAGUUACAAAAUUUCACAUUUUAAAACAUAUUGAAGUAAAUAAAUUUGGUUUAAAACGAAAUGUGUUUCUUUAAUUAAUUGUCAAUUUCAUUCUCUUUGGCUUCAAUAAACGACUAGGAUAGGGACGAUGCAAACCAACUGAUCAAGAUAAAGGUAUCUUUUUUAUACCAUUGAAACGAACGUAAUCAUGUUAACGGUGAAUGAACAAUUUUUAUUAUUAGCUGCAUGUUAAUAUGCUUAUCUCAUUAAAUGAAUACUUUUGCAAAAGGAUAUGUAUUUU